rnacentral:rRNA from 1 species
GAUGAACGCUAGCGGGAGGCCUAACACAUGCAAGCCGAGCGGUAUUGUUUCUUCGGAAAUGAGAGAGCGGCGUACGGGUGCGGAACACGUGUGCAACCUGCCUUUAUCUGGGGGAUAGCCUUUCGAAAGGAAGAUUAAUACUCCAUAAUAUAUUGAACGGCAUCGUUUAAUAUUGAAAGCUCCGGCGGAUAGAGAUGGGCACGCGCAAGAUUAGCUAGUUGGUGAGGUAACGGCUCACCAAGGCAAUGAUCUUUAGGGGGCCUGAGAGGGUGAUCCCCCACACUGGUACUGAGACACGGACCAGACUCCGACGGGAGGCAGCAGUGAGGAAUAUUGGUCAAUGGGUGCAAGCCUGAACCAGCCAUCCCGCGUGAAGGACGACUGCCCUAUGGGUUGUAAACUUCUUUUGUAUAGGGAUAAACCUUUCCACGUGUGGAAAGCUGAAGGUACUAUAUGAAUAAGCACCGGCUAACUCCGUGCCAGCAGCCGCCGUAAUAC